rnacentral:tRNA from 7 species
CGGGGUGUGGCGCAGCUUGGUAGCGCGCUUCGUUCGGGACGAAGAGGUCGUGGGUUCGAAUCCCGCCACCCCGACCC